rnacentral:ncRNA from 1 species
UAAAGUUUAAAUUUGGCUUAAAAAUUUAUUUAGUUUUUCUUUUACAUGUAAAUUCUUGUGUGAUUAUAAACUUAUUUAAAUAGUAGGUUUAAUUUAUUUUAUUCUCAGUAUUUAAUAUUAUUAAUUAAAGAAAUUUUGAAUUAGGAAUAUACUUAGCAUUGACUAAAUUUGUGCCAGCAGUUGCGGUUAUACAAAUAAUGCAAAUAAAUGUUAUUAGAUAGCAGAUAAAUGAAUAUUUUAAGUUAAAACUAAAAUUAUUAGGUGAAAUUUUAAUUUUAGAUUAAUUUAAUUAACAAUUUUAUUUUUGUGAAAUUUUUAUAUAAACUAGGAUUAGAUACCCUAUUAUUUAAAAUGUAAAUAAUUAAUUCUGGAGUAGUAGUAGUUAAGUUCUUGAAAUUUAAAAAUUUUGGCGGUAUUUUAGUCUUUUCAGAGGAACCUGUUUUAUAAAUGAUAGUCCACGAUCGACUCAGCUCAAGUUAAUAAGUUUGUAUAUCGUCGUUAUAAAUAUUUUAUAAGAACAUAAAUUUUUAGUAAUUUAGAUAAAUAUAUAUAUCAGAUCAAGGUGCAGCGCAUAUUUGAGUAAAAAUGGGUUACAAUAAAUAUAUUUAAACGGAAUGAUUAAGGAAGUGUAUUAAUUAUGAAGGUGGAUUUGAUAGUAAUGUUGUUUAGUUAAUCAGCAUGAUUGAAGCUCUAAAAUAUGUACAUAUCGCCCGUCGCUCUUAUUAUAAAUAAGAUAAGUCGUAACAUAGUAGAUGUACUGGAAAGUGUAUCUAGAAUGAU